rnacentral:lncRNA from 1 species
AGGGCCAGCCUGGGCCAAGAAAAACACCCCUUCCCCACGGCCCAGGGGGUCCAGCCUCCUCACUGCACAGAGCCCGCCUCACGGGCCCCCCCGCCCCCAACCCAGGGGAGGAGACGUCCCGUCCGGAGGGGGGUGGAGGAAGCGUCCCGGUGGCUGCCACCGCACAGAUUUCCAGGGGACGCUGCCCGGCUGGGGUCCCCGCACCGCACUGACCCCCUCUGGCUUCUUGUUUCAGGUGGCGUCAUCCUGCCAGCCCCUUCCCCCGCCUGAACUGAGGCGGAACACUGCUCCGGCCCGGCGCAUCGAGCACUUGGGCUCCACCAAAUCCCUCCACACCUCGAAGCAACGGAGCACGCUGCCCAGGUGAGUGGGUGGGGCCGGCAGGGUGGGGGAGGGUACAGCUCGCAGCCUGCUCCUUGUCCGCUGCCCCCCCCAUGGAAAGGGGUGUUGGCUCAGACACCGAGUGUGGGGAUCCACU